rnacentral:rRNA from 1 species
UUGAUCUGAAAUCCGGUAGGAUUACCCGCUGAACUUAAGCCUAUCAAUAAGCGGAGGAAAAGAAACUAACAAGGAUUCCCCUAGUAACGGCGAGUGAAGCGGGAAAAGCUCAAAUUUUAAAUCUGGUAGGAUCCCCCUAUCCGAGUUGUAGUUUCAAGAAACGUUUUCGGUUGGCGCCUGGGUAUAAGUCCUUUGGAACAGGGCAUCAUAGAGGGUGAGAAUCCCGUUUAUGACUCGGAGCAGCGAACUAUGUGAUACGUUUUCAAAGAGUCAGGUUGUUUGGGAAUGCAGCCUAAAAUGGGUGGUAAAUUUCAUCUAAAGCUAAAUAUUGGCGAGAGACCGAUAGCAAACAAGUACCGUGAGGGAAAGAUGAAAAGAACUUUGAAAAGAGAGUUAAACAGUACGUGAAAUUGUUGAAAGGGAAACGUUUGAAAUCAGUCAUGUAGGUGAGUAAUCAGCUUGGCUUUUUUUAGCCUUGUGCACUUUCUCAUCCACAGGUCAGCGUCAGUUUUGGCGGUCGGAUAAAAGCCAAGGGAAUGUGGCCCCUCCGGGGGUGUUAUAGCCCUGGUUAAUACGAUGGUCGGGACUGAGGUCUGCAGCCGAUACCUCUUGUGGGCUGGGUGAUACUUUUACUCGUAGGUGACCGAGCUUAGACAGCUUGCUGACUAGGUUUGUCUCGCCUGCGACUGAGGGGAUUUUACCACAAAUCGGCUUAGGUCGCUGACUUAAUGGUUUUAAAUGACCCGUCUUGAAACACGGACCAAGGAGUCUAACAUAUAUGCGAGUGUUUGGGUGGCAAACUCAUGCGCGUAAUGAAAGUGAACGUGGGGUGAGAUCCCUUUUAAACGGGGAGCAUCAUCGACCGAU